rnacentral:rRNA from 1 species
GAUGAACGCUGGCGGCGUGCCUAAUACAUGCAAGUCGAGCGAACGGACGAGAAGCUUGCUUUUCUGAUGUUAGCGGCGGACGGGUGAGUAACACGUGGAUAACCUACCUAUAAGACUGGGAUAACUUCGGGAAACCGGAGCUAAUACCGGAUAAUAUUUUGAACCGCAUGGUUCAAAAGUGAAAGACGGUCUUGCUGUCACUUAUAGAUGGAUCCGCGCUGCAUUAGCUAGUUGGUAAGGUAACGGCUUACCAAGGCAACGAUGCAUAGCCGACCUGAGAGGGUGAUCGGCCACACUGGAACUGAGACACGGUCCAGACUCCUACGGGAGGCAGCAGUAGGGAAUCUUCCGCAAUGGGCGAAAGCCUGACGGAGCAACGCCGCGUGAGUGAUGAAGGUCUUCGGAUCGUAAAACUCUGUUAUUAGGGAAGAACAUAUGUGUAAGUAACUGUGCACAUCUUGGCGGUACCUAAUCAGAAAGCCACGGCUAACUACAUG